rnacentral:rRNA from 1 species
AUUGAACGCUGGCGGCAUGCCUUACACAUGCAAGUCGAACGGCAGCACGGGCUUCGGUCUGGUGGCGAGUGGCGAACGGGUGAGUAAUAUAUCGGAACAUACCUUGUAGUGGGGGAUAACUAUCCGAAAGGAUAGCUAAUACCGCAUACGCUCUAAGGAGGAAAGUGGGGGAUCGCAAGACCUCAUGCUAUAAGAGUGGCCGAUAUCUGAUUAGCUAGUUGGUGAGGUAAAGGCUCACCAAGGCGACGAUCAGUAGCUGGUCUGAGAGGACGACCAGCCACACUGGAACUGAGACACGGUCCAGACUCCUACGGGAGGCAGCAGUGGGGAAUUUUGGACAAUGGGGGCAACCCUGAUCCAGCAAUGCCGCGUGAGUGAAGAAGGCCUUCGGGUUGUAAAGCUCUUUUGUCAGGGAAGAAACGGUUGUGGCUAAUAUCCAUGGCUAAUGACGGUACCUGAAGAAUAAGCACCGGCUAACUACGUGCCAGCCGCCGCCGUAA